GUUCCUUUGGCACUUUUGAUAAAAUUGAAACGAUACAUAGAAAAUUAGCAUGACCCCUGCGUAAGGAUGAUAUACAUAAAUCGAGAAAACCAAAUCUUUUAC
rnacentral:snRNA from 1 species